rnacentral:snRNA from 1 species
AUGUUCACACAGCAGCAGUGUCUUCACUAGCGAGGUCAAUCCAAGGCAUGGUAUUUGCUCACUGAAAACUGUUCCAAUAUUGUUCCCUCAUGACUAGAAAUUCAACACUGGCAAUUUUUGACCACCUCCAAGGAGA